rnacentral:rRNA from 1 species
AUUGAACGCUGGCGGCAGGCCUAACACAUGCAAGUCGAACGAGUGGCGGACGGGUGAGUAAUGUCUGGGAAACUGCCUGAUGGAGGGGGAUAACUACUGGAAACGGUAGCUAAUACCGCAUACCAUCAGAUGUGCCCAGAUGGGAUUAGCUUGUUGGUGGGGAAACGGCUCACCAAGGCGACGAUCCCUAGCUGGUCUGAGAGGAUGACGAUCCCCACGGGAACGGAGAAACGGGCCGGACUCCAACGGGAGGCAGCAGUGGGUAAUAUUGCACAAUGGGGGCAAGCCGGAUGCAGCCAGGCCGCGUGUAGGAAAAAGGCCUUCGGGUUGAAAACUACUUUCAGCGAGGAGGCGUUACCCGCAGAAGAAGCACCGGCUAACUCCGUGCCAGCAGCCGCGGUAAUAC